CCUGGUUCCGAAAGUGAAAACAAUCAUGGGAACCCUCUAGCUUUUUCCAGAGUGAUCUGCGUCGUAGUGCGUCUGACGUAGGAUUUGCUCAGACACUGUACGUCUACGUUUCCGUGCGUGCUUUCCACUCCCUCGCUGAGCUAAUUUGCACACGGAAGGGUUGCCUGUAAAAAAGAGACAAAUAUGGCUCUGACGAAACUGAAUGCAAUAUUAAUGACUAUGCUACAGAAUAUGUUUAAACUUUUCCUUUCUAUUUUUGGGUAAUCAUAUGCUGAUUUAUACACCGUCCAUUUUCUCCUUAAUAUUUUAGUAUCUAUAUCAGAAUUUGUAGGGAGAUGUCAUUAUAGCAUAUGCUUGUUGUUUUUGUCAUAUUAGAGGGUUUAUGCACUUCCAUUCUCACUUAUGAUAUGAAUUCAGGGUAAAUUAAUUAGUGCCUUAAGCCAGCAGCAGGCAUAGUAAAUAAUGACAAUAUAUAAGAAAUUUAAAUCAUAAGCCUUGGGGGUCCAGCUGUAAUAAUCUUAGGUAAGUGGAUGAUUCAAAACAGAGAAGUAUGGCUGUGUCCACUAACCAUUCUUGCCCUGUUCCUGUGUGUGUUUGAGAUAGUUGGAAUACUAUGGGAAGUGGACAGCAGAUUCCAGAGCAAAUGUAUAUGCAAUGGCAAUGAAGACCUGCAUGAAAGUGCAAAGAUGAGUCAUCAAUGAGACAACAGGACCCUUAUAAGAUCCUGUGUUCGUCAGAGAGGUGUGUGUGUGUGUGUGUUUUCAGCCAGAGACCGCCCAAAUUUUUCCCGGUUAACUCCCAGUGGCGGCACCGCAGCGAGAGACUAGUUUGUCCCGCUCUCUGCAUGCUGUCUGCCAAAUUAAACAUCGCUCCUGCGUCACCGGCCUCUGGACUCUCUCUCAUUCCCUGUCACUCCCAGGGCUGGGUGUCACAACAUUACUGUGGAAUAGAGGAUGUGACGCAAAUAUCAGGAAGCAAGGAAAUGCAGCUCGUCUCACUGCUGCUGGACCUCAUGAAUGCAAUACCCAUAAUCCGUUAACUGUGUGCACAUGUAUUGCUGAAGACAGAAAACAGACUGUAUAAGCAACUACCUUGGUAUUUCCCUUUUCUUGUUGUUGCUGCUGAGCUUGUUUGUCUGAUAAAAUUCUGUAAGUUGGAAUGGAACACAGUUGUAAGGGAACCCCCUCUGGAUUUUUUGAAUCUUCUCUGAUCUUUUUUUUUGGUGUUUGUACUGGCUUACUUUGCUUAUAAUUUUACUGAUAUUAAAUUGUACUGUUAAAUAAAGUCAUUUAUUUUCAGCAUUCUGCUCAAGAGUAAAAGAGCAGUGUUCCCUUGGUAUUCCAGCUUUAAAUCCUCUCACCACUUUUCAAGUCAUCUAACCUCCAUAUAACCCUGCUAACAUCCUAAGUAUUCAGAUCUAUACUAUUUCUAUGGACAAGAUGCAUGUGAAACGAGACACAGUCGGGUUGUUGCUGAGUUGCAUUUCCAGAAUUAUACACAUCACAGGGACAAGAAAUCCCGUCUGUUAGCAAGAGCUGCAAAGACCAGAGGCUACUUCAGGUCAGGGUUUUAACAUAAGCCUGGUUUCCUCUGAUCUAACUUAACUGUGUUUUCUAAUGUAUGCCAAUAUGUUAGUUUAAAUGUCAACUCAUGCUUAACUGUAUUUCUAACUGCCUAAGUGCUGGUGAACCUGGAAGAUUACAGCUGAACUUGCCUAAUACUGCCUUCAGUGCAUCACACUGUAUAGUGAUCACAUGUUCAUUUGUAAAUAAACAUGUAAAAUUUCU